rnacentral:rRNA from 1 species
UAUUAUACUAAAUUUUAAGAAAAACUGGAAGAUUAUUAGAUAUAAUCUUUAAAUUCAAAGAAUUUGGCGGUAAUUUAGUCUUUCCAGAGGAACCUGUUUCUUAAUCGAUAAACCACGAAGAAUCUUACUUAUCUUUGUUAUUAUAAGUUUGUAUACCGUCAUUAUCAGAUAAUGUUUAAAGAUUGAUUAUUGAAUUUUAAAUAAUAAAAAAAAUUAGAUCAAGGUGCAGCUUAUAGAUAAGUUGAAAUGGGUUACAGUUAAGUAGAUGUAAUUAUGAAGUAAGUCCUGAAAUGGUCUUAGGAAGGAGGAUUUGGUUGUAAAAGAAAUUAAUAUGAUAAAAAGAUAUAAGCUCUAAAUUAU